AACCGUAUAGGGGAGCCGGAGGGAAACCGAGUCUUAAUUGGGCGUUAAGUUGCAGGGUAUAGACCCGAAACCCGGUGAUCUAGCCAUGGGCAGGUUGAAGGUUGGGUAACACUAACUGGAGGACCGAACCGACUAAUGUUGAAAAAUUAGCGGAUGACCUGUGGCUGGGGGUGAAAGGCCAAUCAAACCGGGAGAUAGCUGGUUCUCCCCGAAAGCUAUUUAGGUAGCGCCUCGUGAAUUCAUCUCCGGGGGUAGAGCACUGUUUCGGCUAGGGGGCCAUCCCGGCUUACCAACCCGAUGCAAACUGCGAAUACCGGAGAAUGUUAUCACGGGAGACACACGGCGGGUGCUAACGUCCGUCGUGAAGAGGGAAACAACCCAGACCGCCAGCUAAGGUCCCAAAGUCAUGGUUAAGUGGGAAACGAUGUGGGAAGGCCCAGACAGCCAGGAUGUUGGCUUAGAAGCAGCCAUCAUUUAAAGAAAGCGUAAUAGCUCACUGGUCGAGUCGGCCUGCGCGGAAGAUGUAACGGGGCUAAACCAUGCACCGAAGCUGCGGCAGCGACGCUGAUGCGUUGUUGGGUAGGGGAGCGUUCUGUAAGCCUGCGAAGGUGGCCUGUGAGGGUUGCUGGAGGUAUCAGAAGUGCGAAUGCUGACAUAAGUAACGAUAAAGCGGGUGAAAAGCCCGCUCGCCGGAAGACCAAGGGUUCCUGUCCAACGUUAAUCGGGGCAGGGUGAGUCGACCCCUAAGGCGAGGCCGAAAGGCGUAGUCGAUGGGAAACGGGUUAAUAUUCCCGUACUUGGUGUUACUGCGAAGGGGGGACGGAGAAGGCUAUGUUGGCCGGGCGACGGUUGUCCCGGUUUAAGCGUGUAGGCUGGUUUUCCAGGCAAAUCCGGAAAAUCAAGGCUGAGGCGUGACGACGAGGCACUACGGUGCUGAAGCAACAAAUGCCCUGCUUCCAGGAAAAGCCUCUAAGCAUCAGGUAACAUCAAAUCGUACCCCAAACCGACACAGGUGGUCAGGUAGAGAAUACCAAGGCGCUUGAGAGAACUCGGGUGAAGGAACUAGGCAAAAUGGUGCCGUAACUUCGGGAGAAGGCACGCUGACACGUAGGUGAAGUGAUUUACUCAUGGAGCUGAAGUCAGUCGAAGAUACCAGCUGGCUGCAACUGUUUAUUAAAAACACAGCACUGUGCAAACACGAAAGUGGACGUAUACGGUGUGACGCCUGCCCGGUGCCGGAAGGUUAAUUGAUGGGGUCAGCGCAAGCGAAGCUCCUGAUCGAAGCCCCGGUAAACGGCGGCCGUAACUAUAACGGUCCUAAGGUAGCGAAAUUCCUUGUCGGGUAAGUUCCGACCUGCACGAAUGGCGUAAUGAUGGCCAGGCUGUCUCCACCCGAGACUCAGUGAAAUUGAACUCGCUGUGAAGAUGCAGUGUACCCGCGGCAAGACGGAAAGACCCCGUGAACCUUUACUAUAGCUUGACACUGAACAUUGAGCCUUGAUGUGUAGGAUAGGUGGGAGGCUUUGAAGUGUGGACGCCAGUCUGCAUGGAGCCGACCUUGAAAUACCACCCUUUAAUGUUUGAUGUUCUAACGUGGACCCGUGAUCCGGGUUGCGGACAGUGUCUGGUGGGUAGUUUGACUGGGGCGGUCUCCUCCUAAAGAGUAACGGAGGAGCACGAAGGUUGGCUAAUCCUGGUCGGACAUCAGGAGGUUAGUGCAAUGGCAUAAGCCAGCUUGACUGCGAGCGUGACGGCGCGAGCAGGUGCGAAAGCAGGUCAUAGUGAUCCGGUGGUUCUGAAUGGAAGGGCCAUCGCUCAACGGAUAAAAGGUACUCCGGGGAUAACAGGCUGAUACCGCCCAAGAGUUCAUAUCGACGGCGGUGUUUGGCACCUCGAUGUCGGCUCAUCACAUCCUGGGGCUGAAGUAGGUCCCAAGGGUAUGGCUGUUCGCCAUUUAAAGUGGUACGCGAGCUGGGUUUAGAACGUCGUGAGACAGUUCGGUCCCUAUCUGCCGUGGGCGCUGGAGAACUGAGGGGGGCUGCUCCUAGUACGAGAGGACCGGAGUGGACGCAUCACUGGUGUUCGGGUUGUCAUGCCAAUGGCACUGCCCGGUAGCUAAAUGCGGAAGAGAUAAGUGCUGAAAGCAUCUAAGCACGAAACUUGCCCCGA
rnacentral:rRNA from 1 species